rnacentral:rRNA from 1 species
GACGAACGCUGGCGGCGCGCUUAACACAUGCAAGUCGAGCGAGAACCAGACCUUCGGGUCUGGGGACAGCGGCGAACGGGUGAGUAACACGUGGGUAAUCAACCCUCGGUACUGGGAUAGCCCGGGGAAACCCGGAUUAAUACCGGAUGGCCCUUCGGAUCUUCGGUUCUGAAGGAAAAGGUAGCUUCGGCCUCCGACCGAGGACGAGCCCGCGGCGGAUUAGCUUGUUGGUGGGGUAACGGCCUACCAAGGCGGCGGUCCGUAGCUGGUCUGAGAGGACGAUCAGCCACACUGGGACUGAGACACGGCCCAGACUUCUACGGAAGGCAGCAGUGGGGAAUCUUGCGCUAAUGCGGGAAACCGUGACGCAGCGACGCCGCGUGAGGGAAGAAGGCCUUCGGGUUGUAAACCUCUUUCAGGAGGGACGAAGCUACUCGGGUUAAUAGCCCAGAGGGUGACGGUACCUUCAGAAGAAGCCCCGGCUAACUACGUGCCAGCAGCCGCGGUAA